AUCGCCAUUAACAAGUGAACUAGUGAAAUGUAAUGAAAACUACUGGAUGGAUCCAAAAGGGACUAGACUAUUGUAUGGAAAACAAUGAAAUUUGUUUGUUUUUCUUCUAAAGACUAAAUGUAAAAAUGACGAAUCACUUUAGAAAGCGUGUAUUUUAGACCCUGUUGUUUAAUUGUUAAUAUCAUUUUAAACAUAACACUACACACAUUUGAUCAUCUUUGAGGCAGAAUCCAACUGCGUGGAACAUGUUGGAAGUAGCGACUCUUCCUGCUGUCCUUGUGAACUUUUCUGUGCUCUCAACUCUCCAUCAUUUGGCGGCUGUGUUUUUGACUCCAGUGCCAUUAACAAGUGGACAUUUGGGCCUCAAGUAAAAUGUUACAACAAUUACUGUGGAUUGUAAAGCCCUGUAAUGCAGAUGUCCAAGGGGACUAGACUAUUGGAUGGAAGACAACAGAUGAAUUGUGUUUCAAACUUUAGUCGAGGCUACAAGACGCAGCUGCACAUCAGUAAAAACCUCCCCUACAAAUCCUCACGAAAAAGGUAGAGUAGGUGUUGAAACUACCACUCUGCUCAAUAAUGUUGACUGGUUUGCGUCUUCAUUCCCCGCAUCUGUCCAAUAACUCUCCCACAUCUGUAUUUAACAUGUAUGGUUGUGAAGCGUAUGAAGAGGGCCAAUACGUUUGGCUUUUUUUUAUGACGCUGUUCUUUGUUUUGGGAUUUCCUGCAUCUAUUGCCAUCCUGUGGCAGAUGUUUAAGGCUCACUGGGGAGGAAGUCUCUUCACACCAAAUGAUUUUUUCAUACUGAAUGUCUCCAUCAUGGACGCUGUCUUCUUGUUCUUCAUCCCUUUUGGAUUAAUGAAUAAUUUUAUCUGGAUGUAUUGGCCUUUUGAAACAUUUCUUAAUGGUGUCUAUGCCUUGAACACAUGUGGGAGACCCCUCAUGAUGGCUUGUAUCUGUCUGGACUGUUACCUGGCUGUGGUUCAUCCAAUAACCUACCACAAGAGGAAAAGUCUGACUCCCAGGGUGGUGAUGACUGGCAUUGUUUGGAUUUUGACAAUAGCCUCUGGAAUUAUAUACUAUACUUUUUAUCUGUUAUUCUACACCAUCUUUUCCACUCUCCCAUUGAUAGUAGCAAUGGUGAUAAUCGCGAUCUGUGAUUCUCUCAUCCUCCAUUCACUCAUUAAAAGUGACCUCGGUAGAAACAUCCACCCUCAGAAGCAAAGAGCCAUUCACACCCUCACCAACAGCCUGGUGAUCUCAGUCCUGUCUUACCUUCCCCCAGUGCUUCUGAUAGUAGUUGUAAAGCCCCAGGUCAGUGAAGAUAUCUUCAAAUGUUCUAUUGCUUAUCCUAUGACCCUUACUUCCUGUAUGGGAUCUACUCUCAUGUCAUUACUCCACCUUAAAAGUCAUGGGCAGUUGGAUUGUUUCAGGGUUGGAUGCUGCAGGAAGUCUUAAGUCAUAAAUCAGGUGCCGUAGAAGCUUUAAAACAUUUUAACUUUCAGAAGUCGAGUUUCAGUCAGCUCUGAAAUAACUUACAUCCCGACUAAAUCAUAUUAUCAUAUACAAAUUCAAAUCAAGACAUAUGUUUGUUCAAUGGGAUUCUUUCCCUGAUUAAAUUUAUAUAAUGUCAUGCUGUACUUGAAUGUUGUUGCUUAUAAUCCACUGAAUUACAUAUUUGCUCAAAUUAUUUAUUUUCCUAAAUAAGAAAACCGAUAACAAUCCUGUUACUUAAAAAGUCUCUAUAGUCAAAUCUGUACUCUUGAAACAAUGCAUGUGUGGAA